AAAGUCGUAACAAGGUUUCCGUAGGUGAACCUGCGGAAGGAUCAUUAGUGAUUGGCCUCUGGCCUGAUUCAUAAUCCUGACACCUCUGUGAACCGUUGGCCCUCGGGCCGUUUUCAAUAACAAACUCUUGUGUGAUUGAACGUGGAUGUAUCUUAACAGUGACAAAACUUUCAACAAUGGAUCUCUUGGCUCUC
rnacentral:misc_RNA from 1 species